AUGAAAAAUGCAAGCACGAUUUGGGAGGGAUUUUUCUCUAUUGUAACAAGGAAGAAUUAUCUACUCCAUCCGACUAGUUCCGGGUUCGAGUCCCGUCCAACCCAUAUAGAAAAGACCCAUCAAAGUUUUUAA
rnacentral:rRNA from 1 species